UACGAAGGGUGCAAGCGUUACUCGGAAUUACUGGGCGUAAAGCGUGCGUAGGGGGUUCGUUAAGUCUGAUGUGAAAGCCCUGGGCUCAACCUGGGAAUGGCAUUGGAUACUGGCGACCUAGAGUGCGGUAGAGGGGUGUGGAAUUCCCGGUGUAGCAGUGAAAUGCGUAGAUAUCGGGAGGAACAUCUGUGGCGAAGGCGACACCCUGGACCAGCACUGACACUGAGGCACGAAAGCGUGGGGAGCAAACAGG
rnacentral:rRNA from 1 species